GGGUCUUUAGCUCAGCAGUAGAGCGGCAGACUUCGGUUAUAUCUGAAGCUACGUUCAUCGAACGUGUAUUCUGCAGGUCGCGGGUUCAAUCCCCGUAGGACUCU
rnacentral:tRNA from 2 species